UACGGAGGGUGCAAGCGUUAUCCGGAUUCACUGGGUUUAAGGGGUGCGUAGGUGGGCUUGUAAGUCAGUGGUGAAAGCCCGGAGCUCAACUUCGGAACUGCCAUUGAUACUGCAAGUCUUGAGUACACUUGAGGUGGGCGGAAUACAUCAUGUAGUGGUGAAAUACUUAGAUAUGAUGUAGAACACCGAUUGCGAAGGCAGCUCACUAAAUUGUAACUGACACUGAGGCACGAAAGCGUGGGGAUCAAACAGG
rnacentral:rRNA from 1 species